rnacentral:rRNA from 1 species
AACAGGAUUAGAUACCCUGGUAGUCCACGCCCUAAACGAUGUCUACUAGUUGUUGGUGGAGUAAAAUCCAUGAGUAACGCAGCUAACGCGUGAAGUAGACCGCCUGGGGAGUACGGUCGCAAGAUUAAAACUCAAAUGAAUUGACGGGGGCCCGCACAAGCGGUGGAUUAUGUGGAUUAAUUCGAUGCAACGCGAAAAACCUUACCUGGCCUUGACAUGUAACGAACUUUCCAGAGAUGGAUUGGUGCUCGAAAGAGAAUGUUAACACAGGUGCUGCAUGGCUGUCGUCAGCUCGUGUCGUGAGAUGUUGGGUUAAGUCCCGCAACGAGCGCAACCCUUGCCAAUAAUUGCCAUCAUUUAGUUGGGCACUUUAUUGGGACUGCCGAUGACAAAUCGGAGGAAGGUGGGGAUGACGUCGAGUCCUCAUGGCCCUUAUGGCCAGGGCUUCACACGUAAUACAAUGGUCGGUACAGAGGGUUGCCAAGCCGCAAGGUGGAGCCAAUCCCAGAAAGCCGAUCGUAGUCCGGAUUGAGGUCUGCAACUCGACCUCAUGAAGUCGGAAUCGCUAGUAAUCGCGGAUCAGCAUGUCGCGGUGAAUACGUUCCCGGGCCUUGUACACACCGCCCGUCACACCAUGGGAGUGGGUUUUACCAGAAGUAGGUAGUCUAACCGCAAGGAGGACGCUUACCACGGUAGUAUUCAUGACUGGGGUGAAGUCGUAACAAGGUAACC